GACGAACGCUGGCGGCGUGCCUAACACAUGCAAGUCGAACGGAGUAGUUAUUUAAGUUUACUUAAAUAGUUACUUAGUGGCGAACGGGUGAGUAACGCGUGGGUAACCUGCCCUUAAGACCGGAACAACAGCUGGAAACGGCUGCUAAUGCCGGAUGGAUUUACCGGGAGACAUCUCCUGGAGAAGAAAGCUGGCCUCUGUAUAUGCUAGUGCUUAGGGAUGGACCCGCGUCUGAUUAGCUAGUUGGUGGGGUAACGGCCUACCAAGGCGACGAUCAGUAGCCGGCCUGAGAGGGUAAACGGCCACACUGGGACUGAGACACGGCCCAGACUCCUACGGGUGGCUG
rnacentral:rRNA from 1 species